GGUAAUAGCUCACUGAUCGAGUCGUCCUGCGCGGAAGAUGUAACGGGGCUAAGCCAGUAACCGAAGCUGCGGAUUCACACGCAAGUGUGAGUGGUAGGAGAGCGUUCUGUACGCCUGUGAAGGUGGCUUGUGAAGGCUGCUGGAGGUAUCAGAAGUGCGAAUGCUGACAUGAGUAGCGUUAAAGGGGGUGAAAAGCCCCCUCGCCGAAAGCGCAAGGUUUCCUACGCAACGUUCAUCGGCGUAGGGUGAGUCGGCCCCUAAGGCGAGGCAGAGAUGCGUAGCUGAUGGGAAACAGGUCAAUAUUCCUGUACCGAUGUGUAGUGCGAUGUGGGGACGGAGAAGGUUAGCUCAGCCGGGUGUUGGAUGUCCCGGUUCAAGCCUGUAGUCAUGCCUGGUAGGCAAAUCCGCCGGGCUUAGAUGAGGGGUGAUAACGAGGCGGCUUGCCGCCGAAGUGAGUGAUACCCUGCUUCCAGGAAAAGCCACUAAGCUUCAGCUACACACGACCGUACCGCAAACCGACACUGGUGCGCGAGAUGAGUAUUCUAAGGCGCUUGAGAGAACUCUGGAGAAGGAACUCGGCAAAUUGACACCGUAACUUCGGAAGAAGGUGUGCCUUUAGUAGGUGAUCCAUUUACUUGGUGAGCCCAAUGAGGCCGCAGAGAAUCGGUGGCUGCAACUGUUUAAUAAAAACACAGCACUCUGCAAAGACGAAAGUCGACGUAUAGGGUGUGACGCCUGCCCGGUGCUGGAAGAUUAAAUGAUGGGGUGCAAGCUCUUGAUUGAAGUCCCAGUAAACGGCGGCCGUAACGAUAACGGUCCUAAGGUAGCGAAAUUCCUUGUCGGGUAAGUUCCGACCUGCACGAAUGGCGUAAUGAUGGCCACACUGUCUCCUCCAGAGACUCAGCGAAGUUGAAAUGUUUGUGAUGAUGCAAUCUCCCCGCGGAAAGACGGAAAGACCCCAUGAACCUUUACUGUAGCUUUACAUUGGACUUUGAACAGAUCUGUGUAGGAUAGGUGGGAGGCUUUGAAGCGAUGCCGCUAGGUGUCGUGGAGCCAACGUUGAAAUACCACCCUGGUGUGUUUGAGGUUCUAACCUUGGCCCGUUAUCCGGGUUGGGGACAGUGUAUGGUAGGCAGUUUGACUGGGGCGGUCUCCUCCCAAAGUGUAACGGAGGAGUUCGAAGGUACGCUAAAUACGGUCGGAAAUCGUGUUGAUAGUGCAUUGGCAUAAGCGUGCUUGACUGCGAGACC
rnacentral:rRNA from 1 species